rnacentral:rRNA from 1 species
UACGGGGGGGGCAAGCGUUGUUCGGAAUUACUGGGCGUAAAGGGCCAGUAGGCGGCCAACUAAGUCGGACGUGAAAUCCCCAGGCUCAACCUGGGAACUGCGUCCGAUACUGGAUGGCUUGAAUUCGGGAGAGGGAUGCAGAAUUCCAGGUGUAGCGGUGAAAUGCGUAGAUAUCUGGAGGAAUACCGGUGGCGAAGGCGGCAUCCUGGACCGACAUUGACGCUGAACGGCGAAAGCUAGGGGAGCAAACGGG